rnacentral:piRNA from 1 species
UACCACAACCUUGACAUUGUCCAUCAAGAC